CUGAUAUUCAGAGCAAUAAUUCAGAUAAUCAAUAACAGAAGAAUUUUUUAUGGAUAUGUAGGAAAUUGAGCACACAAUGCAUGCUUUAGUGCAUGAUACGAAUGAGGAAAAAUAAUAACGGUCAAGCAAUGAAAUGGACUCAUUUUAUUUUCAGCAAGUCCAUUAAGUACCUCCAAGUGCAGCAAGUGUUUUUUUUUUGUCAUCAGUAAUUGUGAAUGCGGCAGCAUACAUGAAGUAAAAGAUUCUAUGCAGCAAAGAGCAGUGGAAUAUUCAACAUGCAUGGAUCUAAAUUGUCUGACUGUACCUGGAAGAGGCUCUACAGAAGUCCGAGUAUGGUAAAUUGUAUCACCAACACGGGCCUCUUUGGUUGUUCGCAUGCCACUUACAACAUAACCAACUUGUCCAGUAAGUAAGAUACCAGUAGGUGUAAGUUCAGGAUGCAUGAUGCCAACAUCUAAAGCUUCAUACGACUGACCAGUACCUGCAGAUGAAAUCUUAUCCCCCUUGCUCAGGACACCAUCAACAACAGCAACAUGGCAUAUUACCCCUUUGUAUUCAUCAUAAUAUGAAUCAAGUAAAAGCAUGCGAAGAGGAGAUUCCCUCCUACCAGGAGGGGCAGGUAUACGCUCUAUGACUGCCGGAAGGAUUUGCUCAAGACCCUCUCCAGUUUUAGCAGAUGUUAGCAGUGCAUCAUUUGGAUCAAGAUCAAACAUUGAUUUUAAUUGGGCUUUAACACGAUCAGGAUCAGCAGUUGGCUGAUCAAUCUUGUUUAUAACCGGCACAAUGGUUAGGUUAGACUCAAAGGCAAGGUAAAAGUUAGCAACAGUUUGAGCUUGGACUCCCUGAGCAGCAUCAACAACCAAAAGCACACCUUGACAAGCUGCCAAUGAUCUUGACACUUCAUAACUAAAAUCAACAUGUCCAGGAGUAUCAAUAAGAUUCAGCAAAAAACUAGGUGACUCCUUUCCAUCACUGAAAUCAUCACCAUUUACACUGUGCUUAUAGAACAUUGUUGCUGUCUGGGCUUUAACCGUGAUUCCUCUUUCUCUCUCCACCUAAGACAUGUUAAACUUCACUAACAAAACAAAAUAAGAAAUACAACACAUCCCACUAAAACUUUAAUUUCUAUAAACGGUAAAUUGUUUAGUACAAAACGUUUUACAUUAUUAACCAAUCAGAUAUCACCAAAUGUACAAGUUUAGAGGAAAUUAUUACCAAAGUGAACAAUUUUUUCAUAUUCAGGAAUCAACCAUGUAAUGAAGCCAUAAAUCAUUUAUUUACAACAUCAGUGUAUUCAAAUUAAAUUACAUUUUCGUUCAAUAAACAAGCACAGUCAUUGUAAACUUUAUAUUUUCACCAGGAAGGCCGUGACUUUUUAAGUUCACGGCAGUUUGUGAGUAAUGACAGUUUACAUUGACAUUGAAUAUAUUAUUUUUUUCCAUCUUUUCUACCAAUCCAUUGUCU
rnacentral:sRNA from 1 species